rnacentral:rRNA from 1 species
CAGUCGCCACGGGAAUACGUAGGGUGCGAGCGUUAAUCGGAAUUACUGGGCGUAAAGCGUGCGCAGGCGGUUCGUUAAGACAGAUGUGAAAUCCCCGGGCUUAACCUGGGAACUGCAUUUGUGACUGGCGAGCUAGAGUAUGGCAGAGGGGGGUAGAAUUCCACGUGUAGCAGUGAAAUGCGUAGAGAUGUGGAGGAAUACCGAUGGCGAAGGCAGCCCCCUGGGCCAAUACUGACGCUCAUGCACGAAAGCGUGGGGAGCAAACAGGAUUAGAUACCCGAGUAGUCCCUGUCUCUUAUAC